CGAGGUGGGCUUGAUGAAGGCGCGUGCUCGCGGGCGUGCGGGGUGGCGGCCCGCGGUCUGCGGAGUUCUUGCUGCGCAGUGUGUGCGCCCUGAGGUGUGGCCCGCGGGGACCCGAGUCCUGGCCGAUCAGUGUCUGAGGCUUCGCCGCAUGCUGAGGUGGAGCUGCAAACCCACCAGCCACGUGAUGAGCAUGGCCACCAGCUGGCCACAUAGCUGCCUCCUGCCUCCCACCUCCCUUGGACCCACCCAGCAUUUGUGGGCCUUCCUUAUGCAGAAUGGAGCUCUGCCUGCUUUUCUAUUUUAAAGAGUAUUCUGAAGAGAAUGCAAUAUAUGUACAAGGUAUACGUUCUUGGGUUCAAUGUGCCUUGUCUUUGAGAUGGGAAGAUGUAGACUCUGAGAUUUAAGGGAGAGAAAUAGGAAUAUUGUGGUAUUGAACCAGCACUGAACACCCCCCACUCAGAUGGAAUGACUGGGAAUUGCUGGAAUGGCGAGGCUAGUCAGAGCUGGUUGUUCUGGGGCCUCAAGUUUCUUUUCGGAGUGUGUAUCAUGGGGCAUAGCCUGUGUUCCCCCGUAUCUCCAUGGACAGAAGGAAUCCUGAGUCCUCAGGAUUCGUACUGAGUGGCCCCUUUGGCCAGGCCAUUAGAAGCUCCAACUUGCUCUACUUCUCAGAAGUUGCUGGGGAGAGAGUACCUGAACCCUCUCAACCGCCCUGGGGCAUGCAGCAACACAAGAGUGGAUCUGAGGAGACCCAAAAGGUGGCUCUGUGGCCACUAGGGAACUGUUCCUACAAAGGACACUGUUCUUUCUUUUUUAAUUUUGUGAUUUAAAUUCAGUUAGCCAACACAUCAUACACCAUUAGCUUUUGAUACAAUGUUCAGUGAUCCGUCAGCUGUAUAUGACAACACCUGGCGCUCACUGUGCCGCGUGCCCUCUUCAGUUCCCAUCACCCAGUAACCC